rnacentral:rRNA from 1 species
AUGGCUAUGCACUACAUCCCCAUCUUCUUCCUCCUAUUCUUGAGUUCAUUCUGCAAACCCGAUGACUAGCUCACACAAGCAAAGCCACUCACCCACAACGAUAAGCUCAUCUCCAAGAGAGGGGAUUUUGCUCUUGGUUUCUUCUGCCUGACAAGCUCUGAGAAGAGCAUAUGGUACCAUAGUCUCCCCAUACCACGAGCUGUCGUGUGGGUCGCCAAUUGAGACAACCCAAUCACCAACCCUUGGUCUGCGACGCUCACCAUCACCAACAAUUCAUCAUUGGUAUUAUCUGACUCCAAAGGCUGCAAUAUAUGGAUGACAACAAGCAAUAUAGCCGCUAGAGUAUGCAAAGCUCACACAGUUCUACUCAACUCGGGGAACUUUGUUCUCCGGUCACUGAAUGGCGCGGACAUAUGGCAGAGCUUUGAUCACCCAACCGACACAAUGCUUCCAACAAUGAGAUUUUUGCUCCUCAUUUGGCAUGGGACCAAUCCAUACUGCCGCACCACUGUGUGAAAUGAAGCUUCUGUGAUCUACGGGGGGACAUACCUAAGCAACACCGAAUCUGUGUUGUACGAAGUGAAUAUCAACUCUAGAGGUGAGUACUACGAAAUCAUGUUCACAGUCUUAGAGAACUCGCCAUUCACAGUGUUGCCUUGA